CUUGGUCACCAUAGCAACAGUUGGCAGUUGAGGAAAUGGCUGUCAGGCAGUUUAGGUAGUUCAACUACUGCUAAUUUUACACCAAAAAUUACAGCUUGCUUGGACAGUUUCCUCACCACCACCAUCUCCAUUAGUCCAGCAGUCUACUAGUUACGGUUAAGACAGAGCCUAUAAACAACAGUGAGACUGACUACCACAGAAGGCAGCACUGGAUAGCCAUGCAGGCGAAGACAAGGCUCCCAGAACGUGAAGGCAGACGCAUUGUCCCGGCUGUAUGACACAGAGGAGCGGCCCAUGGAUCCCACUCCCGAUCUCCCCCCCUCACAGGGUAACACCGCGAUCCUGGUCGUUGUGGAUUGGUUCUCGAAGACCUGUCAUCUCCUCCCUCUGCCCGGUCUCCCUACGGCCCUACAGACUGCGGAGGCCUUGUUUACACACGUCAUCCAGCACUACGGGGUGCCUGAGGAUAUAGUGUCUGAUCGAGGUCCUCAAUUCACGUCUAGGAUCUGGAAGGCGUUCAUGGAACGUUUGGGGGUCUCGAUCAGCCUUACUUCAAGGCUUCACCCCGAGAGUAAUGGGCUGGUGGAGAGAGUAAACCAGGAUGUGGGCAGGUUUCUGAGGUCCUACUGCCAGGACCGGCCGGGGGAGUGGGUGGCGUUCGUGCCCUGGGCCGUGAUGGCACAGAACUCGCUUCGCCACUCCUCCACUAACCUCUCUCUCUUCCAUUGCGUACUGGGGUACCAGCCGGUUCUGGCACCUUGGCAUCAGAGUCAGACCGAGGCUCCUGCGGUGGACGACUGGUUCAGGCGCGUGGAAGAGACAUGGGAAGCUGUCCGUGUUCACCUUCAGCGGGCCGUGCUGCACCAAAAAGAGAAUGUAGACCGCCACCGCAGUGAGGCCCCGGUGUUCGCACUGGGGGACCAGGUCUGGCUCUCGACCCGAAACCUGCCCCUCCGCCUGCCCUGGGUCCGCGGUUUGUGGGGCCAUUUAAAGUCCUGAGGAGAGUGAACGAGGUUUGUUAUAGGUUACAGCUUCCCCCCGAUUAUCGUAUUAACCCCUCGUUCCAUGUGUCUCUCCUCAGGCCGGUGGUGGCUGGUCUGCUCCAGGAGUCUGAGGUGCGGGAGGUUCCUCCGCCCCAUCUGGACAUCGAGGGGGCCCCGGCGUACUCCGUUCGCUCCAUACUGGAUUCGAGGCGUCGGGCGAGGGGUCUUCAGUAUCUCGUGGAGUGGGAGGGGUACGGUCCGGAGGAAAGGUGCUGGGUUCCGGUUGAGGACCCUUGCAGGAGUUCCACCGUCUUCGUCCGGAUCGCCCUGAGCUUUGCCCUCCGGGUCGUCCCCGAGGCCGGUGUCGACGCGCUGCUGGAGCCACGCGUCAAGGGGUGGGUACUGUCACGACUUCCCCUGAAGUCGGUCCCUCUCCUUGUUCGGGCGACGUUCGGUGGUCGACGUCACCGGUCUUCUAGCCAUUGCCGAUCCACCUUUCAUUUUUAAUUUGUUUUGUCUUGUCUUCACACACACCUGGUUUCAAUUACAUCAAUUACAUGUUGUGUAUUUAACCCUCUGUUCCCCCCAUGUCCUUGUCCGGUAUUGUUUAUUGUAAGUGCUUGUGCACGUUAUGUCUGGUGUGCGUUGGAUUUUGUACCCAUUUAUUGAUUGUUAUGUUUUCCGGUGGUUUUUAUUAUUAAACUGCGACGUUGGAAACACAGUUUUUGCUCUCCUGCGCCAGACUUCUCUGCCGGCAGUACGCACCCCUUACACUAUUACUAAGUUUAUCAUUGCAGACAACCGUUUAACUUCACACCAAUGCACAAAAGAUGUUCAUGUAGUGUCACCAUUACUCGCACUCUUGUUACAAAAUAUGCUUUUAUCAUGAUCCUAUGACUCAUCUUUUAUGCAGUGGUGGUGGAAUGGACAAUCAAACAUUGGAUAAUAAAAUGGCCAUGCAGUCUGUUUUAUUGUGCUUUCUGUCCAUUCUUUUGAAAGAUUGUGGAUUGUCCUACAUGAAAUUCUCUGAAGGAUGAGGAAAGGAUCCAGCAGGUUUGUCCUAGAGGAAAGUGGCCCCAAAAAUCCUGCGGAAUAUCCUGCAGGACUUCCUAUCCUAUACAGUAUAUUCUGCUGGAUUCCCGCAGAAUUUUUCAUGCAGGAUUCCUGUAGGGAAUUAUUAAUUUUUUUAGAUCGCUAUGACUUGUUGGUAAUUUAGAUUCUAAAGUGCUUGUUUUUUUCUUCUCUUUUUUUGUGUAUUCUGACAUUUCAGGAGAAAUCUUAGUUUGUUAAUGAUUUAUUAACAAGGGAUUAUAAAUCAGCUCUCUAUGUUCUUUUGUAUGAACUUGUGAUAAAAAAAGUCCAAUACCAUGACAAAUAUCUCCUUCCUUCUGGUCCUAGCUGAGGAAGUAAAGUGAAGAAAAACCUAAGGGAUUAAAGGGUACUAAUGUCCUUGUAAUAGCUAUGGCAGACAGAGGCACAGGGAUGGGGAGAAUGAUGCAGUGCUGGAGCCUGAGCUGUCUAGGGUUGAAACGACUAUAGCAAACACCCAGUAAACAUCCAUCAGACAGUAGAGAGAGGAGGAAGGAGAGAGGGGGAUAGAGAAAAAGGGAGGAAGAGAGUGAGGAAGCUCCUCAUCACUGACCUCUCUAGAACCACAAAUCUUUUCGCUUAAUUGGAGAUCGUCCCGUAUCGAUUUUCAUCAGUCUCUUUAUUUGCCGUAGCAGCCACACAUAACCAGGGGGGACAUUUAGUGUCACUGCUAAAAUGUCCCAUCUCUGAAAUGUGAUUAAAUUGAAUCAUUGCAGAAAAUGGAUAAAGUAAACAUAUCACAGUUUUGGGGUGUCUUUUUAGCCUUUUAAAAAGAAAAUUGCAUUUCACUUGUUUUUUGUGUAUUAUUAGCUGGACAGAAUGCAAUACUUUUCUUUUUAUGGGUAAAUGU
rnacentral:lncRNA from 1 species